GGGCCCGCACAAGCGGUGGAGUAUGUGGUUUAAUUCGAUGCAACGCGAAGAACCUUACCAGGGUUUGACAUCCUGCGAAUCUCUUGGAAACAGGAGAGUGCCUUCGGGAACGCAGUGACAGGUGGUGCAUGGCUGUCGUCAGCUCGUGUCGUGAGAUGUUGGGUUAAGUCCCGCAACGAGCGCAACCCACGUCUUUAGUUGCCAGCAUUUAGUUGGGCACUCUAGAGAGACUGCCGGUGAUAAACCGGAGGAAGGUGUGGAUGACGUCAAGUCAUCAUGCCCCUUACAUCCUGGGCUACACACGUACUACAAUGGCCGGUACAAAGGGCAGCGAAGCCGCAAGGUGGAG
rnacentral:rRNA from 1 species